AGUGAACGCUGGCGGUAGGCCUAACACAUGCAAGUCGAACGGCAGCACAGUAAGAGCUUGCUCUUACGGGUGGCGAGUGGCGGACGGGUGAGGAAUACAUCGGAAUCUACUUUUUCGUGGGGGGUAACGUAGGGAAACUUACGCUAAUACCGCAUACGACCUACGGGUGAAAGCAGGGAAUCUUCGGACCUUGCGCGAUUGAAUGAGCCGAUGUCGGAUUAGCUAGUUGGCGGGGUAAAGGCCCACCAAGGCGACGAUCCGUAGCUGGUCUGAGAGGAUGAUCAGCCACACUGGAACUGAGACACGGUCCAGACUCCUACGGGAGGCAGCAGUGGGGAAUAUUGGACAAUGGGCGCAAGCCUGAUCCAGCCAUACCGCGUGGGUGAAGAAGGCCUUCGGGUUGUAAAGCCCUUUUGUUGGGAAAGAAAAGCAGCAGGUUAAUACCCCGCUGUUCUGACGGUACCCAAAGAAUAAGCACCGGCUAACUUCGUG
rnacentral:rRNA from 1 species